rnacentral:rRNA from 1 species
CCUACGGGAGGCAGCAGUGAGGAAUAUUGGUCAAUGGACGAGAGUCUGAACCAGCCAAGUAGCGUGAAGGAUGACUGCCCUAUGGGUUGUAAACUUCUUUUAUAUGGGAAUAAAACGUUCCCCGUGUGGGAUUUUGUAUGUACCAUAUGAAUAAGGAUCGGCUAACUCCGUGCCAGCAGCCGCGGUAAUACGGAGGAUCCGAGCGUUAUCCGGAUUUAUUGGGGUUAAAGGGAGCGUAGGUGGAUUGUUAAGUCAGUUGUGAAAGUUUGCGGCUCAACCGUAAAAUUGCAGGUGAAACUGGCAGUCUUGAGUACAGUAGAGGUGGGCGGAAUUCGUGGUGUAGCGGUGAAAUGCUUAGAUAUCACGAAGAACUCCGAGUGCGAAGGCAGUUCACUGGACUGCAACUGACACUGAGGCUCGAAAGUGUGGGUAUCAAACAGGAUUAGAUACCCUAGUAGUC